rnacentral:lncRNA from 1 species
AUUUACAGCAGUGGAUGGGGUAAAAGUACCAUACCUAGCUGAUGAGGUACCUAUGAUCUAAAUGGUCUCAGGUGAAACUGCUUAAUGCUUUAGCUUUUUCACACCAAGCUGCCCUUUCUGUAGUCCAAAAAUUUCAAAUGAAGCAAUUAACAGUAUUAUUUUCCUCUGGUCAGAAGAGAAAUAAAGAACUAGAGCAAGCACUGAAUCUCAGCACACAGGUUCAGAUGUAGUUUUGGUCUCUUCUCCUCCACCAGUUUGAGAAUAUUUGCACCUGGAGUCACCUGAUAGAAAAACAAAGAGGGAAGCUGUAAAAUAAAGAUAUGAGUUAGGGGUUAGAUCCAGAACUAUCAGUGUAUUUAGAUGUGAGUAUAUAGAGUGAAGAGCUGUAUUGCUUAUGCCAUUUACAAGAUGAAAGGGAAAAAAAAGGGGGGGGAGGAGAGAAAAUGAAAAAAAAGGAGAAUGAAGAAGAAAAAGCAAGAAAAUAUAUCUUACAAUAUCGUGAAGAAUGCAAGAUAUCAAUGGCUAUCAUCCAUCUUUGUCUGAGCUGGUUGAAAAGGCAUAUAUUUUCUAUACUGAAGGAAACCUUGAUUUGGACCAGUUCCAGCCAGUGCCUGAGGACUCAUCUUGCCUUGGCUACUGAAGUGCUUGAAGUGUGUUUCUGACCCACAGCUUGCCAAGCCAUGCCCAGCAUUUAUGCAGAGGACAGCUCAUCACCAGGGCUAUAUCAGAGCCAUGAUAUAUGAAAGCUGAGGCAGCAUUUUGUGCUGUCUCCAGUGUGGCAUCUGUUCUUUUUGCUUUUUCUGCAUUUCAGUUGAUUUUACUUCUUGUGCUUCUCGAAAGCCCUGCCAAUGUGUCCCAGCUGCCAUAAUUCUUUGCAAUUUGGAGGCAGAGAAAGCUCCAGGGAAACCAUGACCUGUGGGGUGGGUGCCCAGGAAUGUCCUCCAGUUCAGUGGGCUGAGCCAUACUGUUGCAUUACAGUACUUGCAAGAGAAGGCCAGGAGUCUUCCUUAUGAAACCCAGAGGAGAUUGACUGAGCUGUGAGAAGCAGCUGGUUUUGUUCAAUGCCAAUGAAUAUUGCACAGAAAAUGGUUCCUGAGUCUCAGAUGAGCAUCUUUCAGUUGUUUUUUUUUAAUAACUGCAACCUCAGCUACAUAAGCAUAAAUGAAAAAUGCCAGUGUCUGCCUAUCCUAUAAAUAAAUAAACAAUAAAAUUAAAACCA